GGCUCAGAUUGAACGCUGGCGGCAUGCUUUACACAUGCAAGUCGAACGGCAGCACGAAAGAGCUUGCUCUUUUGGUGGCGAGUGGCGAACGGGUGAGUAAUACAUUGGAACGUACCGAGUAAUGGGGGAUAACUGUCCGAAAGGAUGGCUAAUACCGCAUACGCUCUGAGGAGGAAAGCGGGGGACCUUCGGGCCUCGCGUUAUUCGAGCGGCCAAUGUCUGAUUAGCUAGUUGGUGGGGUAAAGGCCUACCAAGGCGACGAUCAGUAGUGGGUCUGAGAGGAUGAUCCGCCACACUGGGACUGAGACACGGCCCAGACUCCUACGGGAGGCAGCAGUGGGGAAUUUUGGACAAUGGGCGAAAGCCUGAUCCAGCCAUGCCGCGUGUCUGAAGAAGGCCUUCGGGUUGUAAAGGACUUUUGUCAGGGAAGAAAGGGUUUGGGUUAAUACCCUGAGCUUAUGAC
rnacentral:rRNA from 2 species